AAAACUUCAAAAUACUUGACACAUUUCUCUGGAGGCGCCAGUGGAAUUAGCAAAUGAUUCAGCAAAUGGGUUUCAUGAUUCCUGGAAAAAGGCAGAGAAUGGCCUCAAGCUAGAGGUGGAAGAGGCCUGAUGUGGUUUUAUGCCAUACUGUGCCCCAGCAGCCUCACCCAGGAUACCGUUCCCUAGUCACGCAAUGUCGGUGUUAAAGACGAUCCUGCUGACACUUCCAAGUGAUGUUAUCUAUGAAUAAAGAUAAAUUUCAUAAAGUACAUUCAGGAAUCAGUGGAAAAUAUCCUGGCUAUUCACUGAAAUAUUCAAACCAAAAUGAUGAUGUCUGAUGAUCUACUAAAGGUACAGACCAACCAAGAAAAUCAUACAAUAAGAUGCCAAGAAUAAGGCCAUUCAGCCUCGUCAGUGACACUGAGCAAGGAGGAAAGUAAAGGCCACCUUCGAAGAUACGGUGGCUAUUUCUAAAGUAGGAUAAAGACAGCAUACAUACAAGAUGCAGAUAUUCAUGAAAAUACAGUCUGUUGCAAAAUUUCCCAGACUUGUGUUCUGCGAAAAACUAGUCUCAAAAGAGUUCCUUCGUCGAGGAAGUUUGGAAGAUGCUGCAUCUGAUCUCCCUUCUUGGAAAUUUACAGCACACUUGAGAAUAUUAAAAUGGUGAUAAAUUCUGCAGAAAAGAAAUUGGUUUAACAAAAUCCAGCAUUUCUUAAACUUACUUGACAACAAAACUUGGAUUUAAAAAUUCAUGAAACACUCAUUAACACCCUGCUUAAUUAUCCCUUACUCAUGGACAGGACAGUCUGCACAUGACUGUUGAACUCUCCUGGAUAUGGCCAAUACUGUGCAAUGUCCUUGGCAGACCAGGGUAGAAGCAAAAAUAUGAAUCCCUCUAUCCCCCACCUUAAUGACUUCAUCUCUUUUCAUUACCUUCUCCAUUAUUUUAUAAAACUGCUGUGAAAAAUAACCAGCUAAAUGGUCAUUUGGCUUGUCAAAUUAAGUGCUAUAUGAAUGUUAUAAUAAUAGCGACUAUUAAUGGAGCACCCACUCCUUGUCAGGCAAUGAAGCAGUAAGUCAGACACUUAAUAUAAACUUUCUUUAUUCUAUACAACUAGCAGAGACACAUUGCAUCUUCACAUAAAAUGUAAGGAAACUAUCUGGGAGAGGUCAUACAUCUUACCCAAAUUCACUUGCUACUAUGGGAAAUAUCCAGAAUUGCAUAACCAUCUCUCUUUUGUCUCCCAAGUCCCUGCACUUUUCACUAUAUCAUACUGUCUCUCUAAAUAACAUGAAUUCAGCCAGUCUCAAUGAGAUAAUAAAAUAUGAAGUGAUAAGAAUAAUGAUGCCAAUAAUGGUAAUUAAUAACAACCAGAGAGGUAUUAAAACUCUAUGUGUUGUCAUUGUGAAAAAUUUAUGGCAGUGUGAUGUUUUAACAGUAUCGAGCCUACUCUCCUUUCUCCCAGCCCCACAUCCAAUUAAUCAUUAACUCUGGUUGAUUUUUUUUAAUAUCUCUACUGCCACUAACUAUUGUGCAAGUCACCAUCUUAUCUGCUCUGGAUUUUUACUGCAAACAACAUCUGACCUGACCUGUAUCGUGGCUUUUCUCCAAUUCAUUUUGUGCCCAGAAAUCACAGUGGUCUUUUAAUGCACAGAUCUGACGACCUGAUCAUUCACUCUUCAAUUAAAAUCCUCUAAGACUUUCCAGUGACACUAGGUUAAAGGUUGAACUUAGAGGUCUCUAGGAUCU